CACUAUCAUUAACUGAAUCCAUAGGUUAAUGAGGCGAACCGGGGGAACUGAAACAUCUAAGUACCCCGAGGAAAAGAAAUCAACCGAGAUUCCCCCAGUAGCGGCGAGCGAACGGGGAGGAGCCCAGAGCCUGAAUCAGCAUGUGUGUUAGUGGAAGCGUCUGGAAAGGCGCGCGAUACAGGGUGACAGCCCCGUACACAAAAGCGCAUGUGCUGUGAGCUCGAUGAGUAGGGCGGGACACGUGGUAUCCUGUCUGAAUAUGGGGGGACCAUCCUCCAAGGCUAAAUACUCCUGACUGACCGAUAGUGAACCAGUACCGUGAGGGAAAGGCGAAAAGAACCCCGGCGAGGGGAGUGAAAAAGAACCUGAAACCGUGUACGUACAAGCAGUGGGAGCACCCUUUGGGUGUGACUGCGUACC
rnacentral:rRNA from 1 species